ACUUAGCCCUGAUUGAACGGUCUGUUUGAGCUCUUUUUUGUUUUUUCAAAAAAAGCGAGUAGUGAAAGCAGGAAAUAGC
rnacentral:misc_RNA from 1 species